rnacentral:rRNA from 1 species
CCUACGGGUGGCAGCAGUGAGGAAUAUUGGUCAAUGGACGCAAGUCUGAACCAGCCAUGCCGCGUGGAGGAUGAAGGUCCUCUGGAUUGUAAACUCCUUUUAUAAAAGAAGAAACCCCGGUAUUCUUACCGGGUUGACGGUACUUUAUGAAUAAGCACCGGCUAACUCCGUGCCAGCAGCCGCGGUAAUACGGAGGGUGCAAGCGUUAUCCGGAUUCACUGGGUUUAAAGGGAGCGUAGGUGGGUUGAUAAGUCAGUGGUGAAAUCCCCAAGCUUAACUUGGGAACUGCCAUUGAUACUAUCGAUCUUGAAUACUGUGGAGGUAAGCGGAAUAUGUCAUGUAGCGGUGAAAUGCUUAGAUAUGACAUAGAACACCGAUAGCGAAGGCAGCUUACUACGCAGUGAUUGACACUGAGGCUCGAAAGCGUGGGGAUCAAACAGGAUUAGAUACCCCUGUAGUC